UGUGGCAGAAUAGUGCGAUAAAUUUAAGAUUUAUAUAAAAAGAAAACCUUUCCUUAGAA
rnacentral:tRNA from 1 species